AUCUAUGGAAACUUUUGAUGAAGGUAGCAAUACUGACUGAUAAAUUGGAAAUAGACAGAUUAGUGGCAGACGAGGUAGUAACACGUAGAUACGCACCCCAAAGACAGGAAUAAUCCAUCGAAAGGUGGACUAAUACCUGAUGGUCUCUAAGGGGUAAAGAUUUAUCGCUUUGGGAGCGGUCUGGCGUAAUAUCAGCUACUUGGUAAGGUAAUGGCUUACCAAGGCUAUGACGUUUAGGGGAGCUGAGAGGCUGACCCCCACCGAUGGGACUGAGACACGGCCCAUACACCUACGGGUGGCUGCAGUCGAGAAUCUUCCACAAUGGACGAAAGUCUGAUGGAGCGACGCCGCGUGAAGGAUGAAGUGGUUCGCCAUGUAAACUUCUUUUAUAAACCAGAAAUUUUUGAUCAGUUUAUGAAUAAGGAGUUGCUAAACUCGUGCCAGCAGCAGCGGUAAUACGAGUGCUCCAAGCGUUAUCCGGAAUUAUUGGGCGUAAAGGGUGUGUAGGUGGUUCUAUUAGUCAGAUGUUAAAACUUCCCGCUUAACGGGAAAUCGGCAUCUGAAACGGUAGAACUAGAGGAUGCGAGGGGUCUGUAGAACUCAUGGUGUAGGGGUGAAAUCCGUUGAUAUCAUGGGGAAUACCAAAAGCGAAGGCAGCAGACUGGCGCACUCCUGACACUGAAACACGAAAGCGUGGGUAGCGAACUGGAUUAGAUACCCAGGUAGUCCACGCCCUAAACGAUCUUCUCUUGUUUUUCGGAGUAUCGACCCUCUGAGAGACGAAGCUAACGCGUUAAGAGAAGCGCCUGGGUAGUACGAUCGCAAGA
rnacentral:rRNA from 1 species